UAGUGGCGAACGGGUGAGUAACACGUGGGCAAUCUGCCCUUCACUCUGGGACAAGCCCUGGAAACGGGGUCUAAUACCGGAUACCACUCCUGCCCGCAUGGGUGGGGGUUGAAAGCUCCGGCGGUGAAGGAUGAGCCCGCGGCCUAUCAGCUUGUUGGUGGGGUAAUGGCCCACCAAGGCGACGACGGGUAGCCGGCCUGAGAGGGCGACCGGCCACACUGGGACUGAGACACGGCCCAGACUCCUACGGGAGGCAGCAGUGGGGAAUAUUGCACAAUGGGCGAAAGCCUGAUGCAGCGACGCCGCGUGAGGGAUGACGGCCUUCGGGUUGUAAACCUCUUUCAGCAGGGAAGAAGCGAAAGUGACGGUACCUGCAGAAGAAGCGCCGGCUAACUACGUGCCAGCAGCCGCGGUAAUACGUAGGGCGCAAGCGUUGUCCGGAAUUAUUGGGCGUAAAGAGCUCGUAGGCGGCUUGUCACGUCGGAUGUGAAAGCCCGAGGCUUAACCUCGGGUCUGCAUUCGAUACGGGCUAGCUAGAGUGUGGUAGGGGGAGAUCGGAAUUCCU
rnacentral:rRNA from 1 species